rnacentral:rRNA from 1 species
UGGGGAAUUUUGGACAAUGGGCGAAAGCCUGAUCCAGCAAUGCCGCGUGUGUGAAGAAGGCCUUCGGGUUGUAAAGCACUUUUGUCCGGAAAGAAAUCCUUGGCUCUAAUACAGUCGGGGGAUGACGGUACCGGAAGAAUAAGCACCGGCUAACUACGUGCCAGCAGCCGCGGUAAUACGUAGGGUGCAAGCGUUAAUCGGAAUUACUGGGCGUAAAGCGUGCGCAGGCGGUUUGCUAAGACCGAUGUGAAAUCCCCGGGCUCAACCUGGGAACUGCAUUGGUGACUGGCAGGCUAGAGUAUGGCAGAGGGGGGUAGAAUUCCACGUGUAGCAGUGAAAUGCGUAGAGAUGUGGAGGAAUACCGAUGGCGAAGGCAGCCCCCUGGGCCAAAUACUGACGCUCAUGCACGAAAAGCGUGGGGAGCAAAACAGGAUUAGAUACCCUGGUAGUCCACGCCCUAAAACGAUGUCAACUAGUUGUUGGGGAUUCAUUUCCUUAGUAACGUAGCUAACGCGUGAAGUUGACCGCCUGGGGAGUACGGUCGCAAGAUUAAAAACUUAAAAUGGAAUUGACGGGGUCAUAGCUGUUUCCU